rnacentral:rRNA from 1 species
UACGGGGGGGGCAAGCGUUGUUCGGAAUUACUGGGCGUAAAGCGCGUGUAGGCGGCUAUGCAAGUCGGAUGUGAAAGCCCUCGGCUCAACCGGGGAAGUGCACCCGAAACUGCAAAGCUAGAGUCUCGGAGAGGAUCGUGGAAUUCUCGGUGUAGAGGUGAAAUUCGUAGAUAUUCGCAAGAACACCAGUGGCGAAGGCGGCUCACUGGCCCGAUACUGACGCUGAGGUGCGAAAGCGUGGGGAGCAAACAGG